UGUGGACGUCGGGCACGGCUCCGCUGGUGAUGUCGGUGGUCGGAUGCAUCGCGGCCGGACUGCUGAUCCUGUUCGGCACGCUCGCGU
rnacentral:tRNA from 1 species